CUCUCAGCGCUGCCGGAAAAUGCACCUUAAUGAGGGGAAAUUGUAAAACUGGAAUGAAAAAAAAAAAACCCACCCCUCUUCAGCAAAGAGAGGUCCUUGCUGCAGUCCUUGUUUCACAUGGCCAUUGAGAGCAUGGCAGCUGUGCUGCUGUGAUCAUAUGUGACCUAGAUUUUCCUCACAGUAGUCUUGUGCUCUCCCUGAUCUUGUGUAGGCCUGAAUGAGUUGAAUAGAAACAUUUCUGGAUGCUUUCAGAGAGCAAUGAUAUCUUUUUCUUUCUCUCUUUCUUCAGACCACAGCAUCUGUUCCCCUUGUGGAUUUCUCCCUUUGCUCUCUCACAGCGGUUGUAAAAGAGGACAGGGCUGGCGCAGCUUUAAUUUGGCUAAUGGUGGUUGGGGAAAUCAGGGCAGGUGCAAUUCCUCCUCGGUGUGCUGCAGCACAGCAGAGCGUGAAGCUCUGGUGCAUGUGUUUUAUCCCUGAAUGCGUGCAAAGGGAGAUGAGAGGGCUGUUGGGAAGAUGGAGUGUGAGUGUAUGGCAUCAGGAAGCCCUGUUGGUGUGGGUUUUUUUGUUUGCUUUUUGACACUGUGGGUCUGUGCCUGGCAUUAAGACACCAGGAUGCUGAGGUACCAUUCACGCUGAGCUCAUCUGCCUGGGCUUGGAGGUGACCCUAGAGCAAGCUCUUAAUGGUUUUGGAGAGAAGAGCUGAGGAAGCUCAGCUCCUUGGUGCAUGCCCACACUCUUCUUAAUGCUGUUGGACUGCUUUAGGUAUGGACAGGAAUACAUUACAGACACCCCUUGUUGCAGUAUUGCCAGCAUGGAGGCCGCCAGACCAGUUGGUAAGGUGUGCAGCAAAGUGCAGGAGCCACGGCUCUGUGUGCUCGAGUUUGCCCUUGUACCUGCUCUCCUGAAUGUAGCUUCUGACAUCUAACUUCCCAGCUCUGACAUUGAUGCCAUCUAUACAUGAGCAGAACUCAUAAGCUAAGGCAUUUGGAGGAAACUAGAGAGAGCUGGUUUGAUUUCCCUAGAGGGGAUGGCAAGGCCCUGCAGGAAGGAGGAGGAAAAAAAAAAAGUUGGAGCAAUCUGCAGGGCAGACUGCUAAUGUUUCCUUCCUUCCAUGCAGAUCCUGCUGAGUCUGUUGAGAAUUCAAAUUUCUAGGAUCAGAUGGAAAGAUUUUAAACUUAUAGCAAGCAGCUAGCACUUAGGUCCAGUGGGGACUUUUAGGUAGUGUUCUGAUAGGAACAAAAAUAGGCACUCGUCCUCUGCCUCAGUUCGUAUGGAAAAUGAAAUUAUAAUGAUCCUAUCAUCUACUUUGCAGAAAGCUGCGAGGACAACUUCUCUUCAGCGCUGUCUUCAGUUAUAGAGCUGUUCUGACAGUGGCGAGUGAGUGUUGCAGGUGGUGGGUGGGGGUUCCUUCCGAAAUUUUAUAUAACUCCAAUAUUAUCUGUUCCUGCGAUUGACUUGACACAUGAAUUCAAAACAGUUGGAGCUUCUCUCCCACUCUCAUGUAGCAAACUUGAUGUGAAAAUGACACUUCCCCCUGGGAGCUGAUAGUUUGCUGUUCAGUGCAUGGUGUUGUGUUCCUUUGUUCGCUGAAGGUGGCACUUGGCAAGUGGUUUUUGCCACUUUAGGGUUGUCGAUUCUGUCUGCUAAAGGCCAAGAUAAAGCUUCAUGGAAAGGCUUUUGCUCCAAACAGAUCUUCUCUAUAGUGCACGGAUUUGAUGACAAAGGAGCCGGGAGCUUAGAAGUGGCUUUGCUUUUUUUCUACCCUCAGUCCGCACUCUUCCCUCGUCAUGCUUUUAUUUUAAUGUGGUAUUUCCUACCCUGCUGUAAACACUAGGGUGGUUUUUGUCUUGUGACUAGGCAGUGCUUUGCCAUGACAUUCCUUUCAUAAGGUGUUGCUGAUAGCACUAGAUGUGCUGCUGGCUGCUUCCAAGGCUUAUCAGAGGGUCUGUACCAAGAGCACUUAGAUAAUCCCGUGAGGGUAUGCAUUAGCAGUAAGAAACCUGUGUGAACACUGUUUUAUAGAUUUGCUACGAAGCCGUUUAAAAUACGUGGCAACAAAUUCAUGGCCCUCUGGUGAGUUGUGGUUUUCAGUAGGGCACAGUGAAGCAACAUAUAUAGGGUGUCCCAGUCCAUAAUGUUUGAAGUGACCUCAGUUACUGACAGUAUAGUGCCAAGCUGGGCAGCAGCAGUUCUUCUGAAGCCCAGGGUGAAAUGCACAUUAGUCAUUAGAAAUGUAAAUAGCAGCGAUGUGAGAAGCAUUAAUAUCAGUGAAGCUUGCUUGGCUCUUGUUUUUACUUCAGACCAUGUUUGUCAUAGUACUCACAGAGUAUCUAAAUACUUCAGAGAUCCUCAGCAGCUGUGAGUUGAGCCAUCUUGGUGGAAUUUGUGGCUUCAUGAAAGUGAAGCUUCACCUCUGUUCACUGAGUUUUAUUCUGUUAUAUAUUUCUUCGUGACACAGCAACAGGAAUCCAGCAGAAUUUAGAAUUACUGUGCUUUCAAAUUAUAUGAAAAUGGUCUGACCUGAGUCAUAAAUCAAUGGGUUGGCUUUUUUUUUAUGGGCUUCUGUAGCACAGAAUACAAAUCACAAGCCACCCAAAGACAGUGGAUCCUAUCUCUGCUCACGGUGUUUUCCCCAUGCGAUUUGGCAGUUGUCUGAAUGCUCAGAUGCUAAUGGUGCAAGAAGAUGAUGUACAUAUAGGGAUGAGGCUGAAGCCGUGAUUCAUGUGCAGUCAGAAACACAAGGAAACUUUUGUACUGAGGGAACCUCUCCUGUGUAUUGUCAGGCCUGCUACAACCUCCAGCUGCCAGAACAAACUCUGGGGCAGUGGAAUAAAUACCUCAAUAUAGGAAGACAGCAGUAACAUGCAACAGAUCUGUGAAGCUACAGCUAAAAUACAUGUGGUCCAGCAGUGGACCCUAUUAUAGUUAGUGGAGGUUAUUCUAGGGACUUUGCAGGGAUUGGCUUCACAAAAUGAUAUAAGAAACUUAACAGGGAUGGAAAAGGGCGUUACCACACUAUUCAUAACACUCCUUAUUAGAAGUUGCUAGCUUCUUCCUACAUAAAAUGAAGGAAGCUACAGGUGAUGGAAAAAUAAAUUGGUCCCCGUGGGCACAGUGCCUUGACUAUAUAGAGAGAUAAGGCAGAUGUGUGCUGAAGUGCAGGUGAAAUGGCCACAGCAGUGUGAGGAGCCUUGGUUUAUGGUACGUGAAAAGCAGUGAUGUUGGAGUGCUGCUCAGAAGUGGUCAGGAAUGCCACAUUUUGUGCAGGCUGAGGCUAAAAUAUACCCUUCCAAGAACACAGAAGUUGCUUGUUGGAAGAGUAAAUGGCAGAUUGUGUGUGUGUUCCUGAAUUUUCUACCCCCUUCUCACAGCAUUACCUCACAGUGUGGGACUUGCUGAAGCUAUAGGAGGGCACUGUGGUACAGUGAGGAACGGGAUGUAACUUUCUGCAUUCUAAGCCAAUACCUCAUUGCUGGUUCAUUUUGUGUGCGUUUCUGCAGCACUGAGCUUGCAUGUGGUGCUGCAGAACGUCUGCAGCUUUUCUAACCCCCAAUACUGCUUUGGCUUCAGUCUGAUUCGCAGACUGAAGCUAUGUGGGCAGGGAGAGAAUGUUCUCCGAAUAAAUCCAUCAUAAACACAGUGCCUGUCCUGUAAUAGCUGGGAUCGGAGAAUAACAAACUAAUAAGCCCAACUCUUUUAUUCCUUCCCUUCUUGUAGAUGGCAAGCUAGUAGGUGACUCUCAUACAGCUUGCGUUAGCCAGAUGUGCUAAAGAAGAAAUAUUUGCUGGGUUUGCUUUGGAGUCCACAGCUAGAGUAUGCUUCACGUCUCCCUGGGCAUGGCCAAGUGUUUGGUAGCUUUCUCUUCUCCAGACGAAGACUAUUUAAACAAGAACUGUUUAGACCAGAGUAUGUCUGAGGCUCCAUAGCCUUGUGAAAGCUUUGUCUGCAGUCAUUCAUGGGUGUUGAGUACCACCUAACUUCACAGUGCUAAUGCUGUGCCCAUGUGGCCAGAGAACAGCUGUGACUGGGCUGUGUGUAUUGCACUUCUGUAGGUUUUCUGGUUGUGUAUGAGGUGACAGAAUGGUGACAGAGUGAGCAGACUUUGGAGGAUCUGGCUUUGCGUUCUGUGAUGUUCAAGUCCAAGCAAAAUCUUGAUAUCUGAAAGCACUUGAGCUGCUUUCAACACUGGCUCUGCUGCUCAGAAAGAACAGAGCUUUUUGUGGUCUGUGGGGAGUUUUGUGAAGCUUCUCUCAUCUGUCUUACAAACAUGAAGGUUCUCUCUUAAGAUUCAGGUGCAUGAUGUUAGGGAAUAAAUGGCAGAGGGGAAUCAGCCUUAGGGAGUUAAUUUAGAGCCUCCUUUUGAACUGCAGCAUAUGACGCUCUUCUUUAGCUGUAGGACUCCAAGUUCAGCUAGUGUAGUCUGUGCUCUUUCUGAUGAUAGUGUGCAGGCUCAAAUAAGUCUGAGAAGCAAAAUGUCCCCUUCCAAAGGUGACUGACCUACAUUUGUGAUGCUGAAAAUCCAUUGGAUGCCAAAGCAUUGCUGAAAAGCAUAGACAACUUGAUCUGGAUGUUCGGGUUCAUAUCUAAAUGGAACAGGCUGCCUUCCAGCUAUGAAAAAGAAGGCUUCCCAUGAUACUCUGAAGGCCAAUGGAAUUGCAAGAACUACUGUAUUUUUAUCCAGGCUGUUUUUUUUAUUGUGUUAACCAUCUCAUAUAGCUCUGUAGCCUGAAAUGAAUGCCAUGAUAACACAAUGAAUUGCAGUUCUGUUCAUGAGACCCAUGGUUAUGUUGCAUUUUGGCAGAACGAGUCUAUUCUGCUAUGGCUUAGCUUCUCCCCAGUUAUCUAUUUGUCCUGCUUGCUGCAUCCAACUGAGUCCCUGAGGGAGCUGAUAAAUUCCCUGCAAGUUACGCAGCUCUCACAUCUGUUCUCUUUUCUUCCUCACCAUCUUUGCUCUGUGCAAAUUACACUCAGAGGUUUUGCAUGGAGAUCACACAUGGCAUAUCUACCAAGCUCUAACUUGUCCCUCAAGUUAUUUUUUUCUCUGUAGCUUCUCUCCCCAGGCUCAGUAGGCCAAAUGUCUCUGGCCUCCACAGGCUGAGGACAGAGUUAUAUCAAGAAAAUAUUGCCUUAGACUGAUUUGUCUCUCCAGCCCUUUUCUUCUGUCUCCAUGCAUUCUCUGUCUGGUGCAUUGCAUUUGGAGACAAAGAUUUUCAAUAGUGUUCAGGUAACACAAUGGUGGAAUACAGCACUUGGUAAGUAGACCACCUGUAAUCUUAUUUCACAGCUCUUUCUUAUGCUUACAUCUUGAAUUUGAGCUGUGGAUUUGCACAUUUUCCUUCUGCAGCACAGCCAUCCUGGUACAAAGCCUUGGCUUGAUUGUAUGUAACAGAUCCUAGAAAGUUACUUAGAUCUUUAGUUCUGAGCUUGGCACUAAUAAUGUGGCACGAGCAUUUUUCAAUGCUGUUCUCAUUAUGAAGGUAGAACCUCUCCCUGGAAUGCUACAAUCAUUUUUAGAAAGGAAGUGGAAGCAAUAAGAGUGAGUGACAGCUCUCGCCUUAAACCCUUUCUAUUAAGUGACAGAAAGGAUGCCAUUUGCUUCCUUUGCAAAAAUAAUGUAUAAAAUAGUGUUAGUGAUACCUCAGAAUGCCACAUUAAGAGUGCUACCCAAAGGCAGCCUAGGUAGCUGUGAGAAUGGACAUUGUUCUUAUUCAAUUUCAGAUGCGGUAAGAAACUUACCUUCCAGGCCUGAAGAGAGGACAGGCUAUUCUGGGAUGGAGCCUCUUCCCAUUGCUUGGCUGCAUGAGGCUGUUAAAAGAAAAGAGAAAUUCAAAGGAGGUAAAAGAAUUGCAUUACAGAAAAUUGCAAUGGAAAUGAAAGCUCCCCCCAGUCUUUGAAAAAUCAUCUUUGGUAUUACAUAAUAAGAAAUACAUAACUGUGCCUAUUUUGACCAUAAUUUGCUUUCAUUUGAUGACAUUCAAUAAUAAGAUUUAUUAUUACCAGCAUGGAAAAUAUCCUGCCUGGGGGUGGCUGAAAUAGAUCCUGCAGACAAGUCAUCCAUCAGCUCAUGUUUAUCUCUUCAGAGAUCAGCGAUAUCAGUGGCAGGAACAAUUUCAAACAAUCCAAGACUAUUUACAGAUAAUAAAAGGAAAUGUUCAUGUGGAUUUAUAAUGCGUCUCUCACCAGAAGUCACAAAAUAUUUUUGCAGGAGAGAUGAUUUAUUAUGAGUUGGUUAAAGAUGAGGGAUGGAUGGCAGGCUCAGAGGUGCUUGCUGGCCAGGCAGGGGCAGCAGCCCUGACCCUCUGCUCUGCCCAACGUGCUCUUCCAGGGAGGAGCAGUUGUACAGGGUGACAUGCACAGGGCUUCAGGCUAACACUGCUUUCCCUUUCCUGGUUGCUAAUGAGUUCAGCUGCAAGGACUGCAGACCAGUGCAAGCAAACAGGUCUUCUACAUCACGUGGAUAGCGUGCAAGAUGAUAGUCUUACUGUUUCUAAAAAGCAAAUUAUGUCUUCUCACUUAACUGUGCUGUCAUUUCAAAGCAGCAGCUCGUGUGUGUGUGUCCCUGAUGGAGAGGGUUCUUGAAAAAUGGUGGCAACUUUCAGCAUAUUUAUUGGUAUUGACUGUGGGGGUCAGGACAAAUAGCUGCUGUCCUUCAGGCGAAAGAACUACGCUGACUUUACCGACUGUUUCCCUCUCUUUGUAACCAGUGUGGAACUGAGGCUCCGUUCUUAUUUAACCGGUGUGUCACAGUUUUCUUUCUCUCAUUUUUGCUUCUUUCUUUGUAAAAUUGGGGAUUUAUACUUCCUGAAACAAAGAGCACUUUGAAUCACAACAUGAAGUGUACAUUUUUUUUUAUGUUAUAAAGGGAUCUUUUUUGUUUAAUUUUUGUUUUUUGUCUACGGAAACUUACUGGAACAUUCAUUUCUGUUUGGGAGGAAGCUUGCUCUAUAUGGACAAUAAAGAUGUUAAGAUCAGGAUGAAUGUCUAUGGGAGAUAAUAGCAAAUAAAAAAAUGCACCAGUCCACUACUCAUGUUUUCCAGGAACUGCAAGAACUCAGCCUGGGUUGUGUUGUAAAUCUAAGCCCCAUUGUUCCUGACUGGGGUCGAGCCUGUCUGAGAGAGACUUCUUCUUUGUUCCUUUGAGCAGCUUCCAUCUGAAGCAUUUGGAGUGUUUUCAUAUUUUAAGCAGAAUUUUUGAGAUGCACGUGUACUGACAUGCUUUGCUUUCUGCUCCUCCAGAUUUAGCAUCUUUUCUGCUAUUUCCUGUUGAACAUCAGCAGAGCGCGUUGACACCGGCAGAAGUAAUCUGACCUACGGUGAGGCUGCGUGUGGGAUGGCCUAUAGUUACCAGUAGUACGUGAUGUGUGCCAUUAAUACAUAGCUGCUCUUAUGCCAGGGAACAUGCCUUGUGAGGCAGCGCCAGUGAGAGUUUGACCUCAGGCAUCCCGAUAGCGUGGUGUGUGUGCUGUGGCCGUGCUGGCUGACACCAUUUGUCCCCUGAGAGAUACAAGCCUGCAGCAGAUGUGAGGCUCAAUGUGUCAGCUCAACCUCAGGGGCAAGAAAAAGAGAAGUUGAAACUGGUUUCUUCCAUCUGAGAUGGCCACAGGCGAAGAGCAAACACACUUGGUCAAUUACCGUGGCUCAGAUGAUGCAUGGUAUUGCCAUUUUCAGGUCAAAUUUUAGAGUUAGUAGGAACUUUUCCAUGGGCUUUGUACAACAAUAUUCCACUGCGCACAGUGAGAAGUUUGAACACCCUUCGUUUCAGCGUCUAAUUUUGAGAUGAACUUGUAUCUUUCUUAAAAAAACAAAACAACAAGACCACCAAUAGCAAAAGAAAACCACCGGCCCCAAACUUUCACCUUUCUUCUCAGGUAAGACCUGUUUUCUUACUCCACUCUGUGGGAAAACUAAGAAUACGUUAGCUUAUUUCCAACUGUGAUUUGCUAAACUGAAGCUAAAGAUGGAAGAAUUCCAAACCUAGCAGUCUGGACCCUCUCAAACUAUGACUGGGGCCAGGGAAACAAGGUACCAGACAUCAAAACUUUGGAUGCUUUUUUUCUUUUCAUGUAGUAACUGAAACUCGAGUUCAUCUUUCUCUGCUUCCACGUAAUACAAGGAAAGACAUUUGAUUAGAUUAUGUGAGAUACUUUUUAAGGCAGAUGGAUUCAACACAUGGCUGCAGGACCAGGCUUUAUUAUCUCGACUAACGUGGACACAUUUUGAACACUGCUUCUCACUCUGCCAUCAGCCGCCACCACCUCUGCAGUACUGUGACAGCAAGAGAAAAAGGACAGGGAAGUGAUAAAGUUUGCACACGUAAGCAGAAAAGAACUUUCUGUCCAAAGCCAGCUGGCUUGGCUUGGCACUGAAGUGGCAUUUUAGCACAAGAUGACACGUUUAUGCGUGUACUGGAGCUAUGUUUCAAAACACUUGCCCUAGAUGCCACAGGAAGGGUCUGUGAAAUAGUUUAUCACCAAGUAACCAUAGAGAGCAGGUGAGCUGUCUGAAUACCAGUUUGUCUUCUGAGCUGGCAGACAAAUGAAACCACAGGAAGGAAUCAAAGCAAUGCUGCUGCUUUUAAUAAUUAGAAUUGAGCGUAUUUUCAGGGAAGUUUUGGGAAAGCAUGCGAUAAUCCUAUAUCACAGCCAAGAGGACAAUACGUCCAUUAAUAAAUGCCUGAUACCGUUUGCUCUGAUACAAAACUCAGAAAUGCACACCAGCCAAUCCAUGUUAACACAGGUCAUUUCUUUAAGUCUUGUUUUCCAAAUUAGAGCAAACCCCCCAGCAUAAGAUGAAUGGGCAUCUUUGCCUUUACCUGAUAAAGUGCCUGAACGAUUAGGGAGGCUGAUGGCUUCUACAGAUCCUGUGGGACACAGAUCAGUCAUCCCACGUGUAACCCCAAAGAAAUAACUGAAAAUAAAUCACAGCAACAUUUGUACUUUGGAGUCUGGAUACCAUCAUAAAAUGCCAAAAAUGCACCUUGUAUACUGCCCAAGUUUAAAGAUUAAACUUUAUUUCAGAAGUUAACUGCUAUAAAAGUUUCUUUGCUAUAUGUUGCACAUUAUAACAGAUCACGCAGACCUUCUGUGGGCUCUGUGUGUGAAGUUUACAAGACCAGGACAGUAGCAUAUGUCUCGUGUGCAAUUUGAUCAAUAGAGUUACAGCAAAACAGAUCAAGUCUAGGAAAAAUAAUGCUUAGAUUUACAUGUUAAGAGCAGCACUUGCUGUCUGCAGUGGGAGCCAAGGAUGCUCUGAGCAAGACACAAUUACCUGCCUUUCAAGAGUUCCACAAGUCAUUUGUCACGAGGUCCCACCAACUUCACAUCUACUUUAAAAAGCAGUUUGAAGACUUUUUAGGUAUUAUGGUCUCCUAUAUCUAUUUCUGUCUCUUUUGUUUCCUAACAGCAUGAGAUACUGACCACACAUACUGCAGUCAAAUAUAGAAAUUAAACCUACAGGAAAAAGGAUGUCUUCUCUUUAAUCUCUUGGAGAAUUUUCCAGACUAAAGCAUAGUUCUUAAAUUGAUAAUAUCCCUUUAAGAAUUUAUUUGCCAGGUAAUGUUAGAAGAAAAAAGAGAUUAGGGCUAGUUUGAACAUUAGAAAGGCCCUUUUUAAAAUCAAUUUCAAGUCUGUAUUAGAGAUGAGCGUUGUCUGAACAUGCUUCCAACAGAUAAAAUAUAUUCUGCACCUUAGGAACGCAAAUAACUUGAAAAUCCUUGAGACUCCCAGCUCUUUGCAAAAAGGUCAAACUCUAUCCUAAGAAAUAUUUCAUUGCAUAGAAAUAAUGGUUUAGUGUUGCCGUAUAUGAAAGUCAGAAUCUGUAAGGCUACGAAGUUAAUAACAGAUCAAGGGCUGAAGUUUUUGAAUAAUGUAGUAAAUAUUUCUUAAAUGAGUGAAAUGAUACGAUACCACGGGAAGAGAGAAAUGCGUUUUAAUAAAGAAAAUAUUGAAUGUAAGAAUAUUUCUUUAGAUCUACCAUGCAAUCUGUGUGUUCUCUAUGAGAUGUCAAACUACACGGUGCAUAUGUACACUGCGCUCUCUAUAAAUAUACAUGUGCAUGACAUAUUUCUGAAGGCAGUAAAUGAAUGCUGGGGAAAUACGGCAACAAUGAAGUUCCUAAGAGAAGGUUAGUUUUUCAAGUUAUUAAAAGAAGGUGGCAAGCAUUCAUGAGGAUAUGAAAAUUUAAAGCUGUCUGCAGGAAACUCUGAAAACCUCUGGUUAAGGCUGCUGCCAAAAAAUCUCAGCUAUGUUAUGUCAGAAUAUUUAAUUGCAAGCUGCAAUUUUAAUGAAUGGAAAGAUAUGGCAAAAGGAGGAAGUUUUCUGCAGCAACACAGAACAGCCAUGAAAAUAAAAUGCCAAAGGUUGUAAUCUUGGACGCUGUAGGAAUCAGGAAUUUCCAUCCACGUUCUGACUCCUUUUCCUACUGUGAGAGUUUGCCAGCUGCCUGGCUGAAGGGAGGUAAGCUGUUCUGGAUAUCAUCUCCUGGGCUCAAGGCAGCACUUGUUAUGUCUAUGUGAAGAAGUCAACUUCUGUGCAUUUGUUGUUACGGAUGUUUACCGAAAUGCAGCUUAGGAAUAGGAGAGGAAAAGCAAAUGUCAGAGUGCAUUAAAUAACGUAUUUUCUUUACUUUCCAAGAAGCUUGCUAGCAGCAUGAUGUUACUAUUUAUAACAGAUCUCUUAAACCCAGCUGUUGGUUCAUGUUAACAUGGAGAAUGGUGAGAAAACCCCAGCAGAAGAGUGUGAAUCCCAGAGAGACUUGUCUUCUGUCAUUGUGAAGACCUAGAAAAUAUCCCAAGUUUUGCUGAGGUAUGGAUCAGUCAUGCAGCACACGAGGCGUGCCAUGCAAAUAUUUCCUGUGGUGAUCUCUGGCAUUAGAAGGCCAGCAGCAACACAAAACAAGAAGUACCAAAUGCUGCAAGAAGCAGCUUCAGAUGGCAUAGCCUGAGCCUGUGGCUGGAAAAGUCUGAAAGAGAGAAAGAGAACUUCUACCUGUAACUCAAAACUAGCAGAUAUACUGUACACCCACAUUACAGCAUUCUUAGACAAGCUGCAUCUGAUCUAAUCUUAUGUACCUUGGCCACAGGUUCUGGAAAAACAAAUAUUCCCAAGGCAAUCGGAUUACUGAAUGUACCAUAUAACGAUGUGGAAAUAUUAGUGGUUUACAGAAGGCAGUUUAUGAAGUGGAUUGAGUGAAUUUAAUUCAUGCACUGUCAGGCAAUUUGGACUUAGAUAUAAUCAUGUUAAGAUUUCCUUAUUUUAGCUGUCUUUGGUGGAGCACCAGAGCCAAAUAGUAGCGUAUGAGCAAUACUCCCAACUACAGACAGACAGGUCAUGGGCAUUUGAUCCAAGCCAGCUUUGAGCAAGUGCAAAUCUGUGUCUGCACUGGGGUGGGGUGGGGGGGGGGUUAAUAGGGUUAUCCCAAGUAUUAGUGAAAAGGAACCAUUAUCUCCUCCUCUCUGGCUUCCUGAUCCGUAGGUAGGAGUCUCCCCUUCUCUUAUCCUUUGUUUCUCAUGAAAGUUCCCAUCCUGAAAUGCUACGAGUACAGUUUGGUUUUGUUGCAAUAAGUGGUCCUGUAAAAAAAAAACUUCAUUCACAGAGUACUUCCACCACUGUAAGUGAAACAACGUUAGGAAUUAAUCUAGCCUGUGAUUUUUAAGAAACCGUGUUCUGAAAAGCUUGUUCUCAGACCCUUCUUCCCUGUGAAGGAUAACUUAAUUGUUUGACAAAUAAGCUAAAGCUACAUAACAUUCCCCACUCAUCCAGUUUUAAAAAAUCCUGCAUUGUUUUUUAAUGCAAAGUUCACCUUUAGAAGCAUGAGAUCUAAUAUUCUUUUUCUCUAGAAUAAAGACAAAAAAAGCUCUUUUCUGGAAUAUAAGAAAUAUUUGAAAAGGAAGAGUGGGGAGCAGCCACGGUACUUCACUCUGGAGUGCUUUGUGAGAAGGUCUGAGGAUGUAAGUUAAAAGAGCAGAUACGAUUUUGGUGCUGCUGUCUCUAAAACGCUUUGAGUGGGUGGGUGGAAAUGCACUGGAAUAGAAAUGCACAGAAAAGCCUUAUUGCUGGAUGGUAACUAAAGAGCCUCGCAGUUGAACAGUCAAGAUUACGACUACUGUUGUCUUUUUGAAAUCAUUUUUUCCUUAUUGUUUUCUUUAUUUUCUGUUUUCUGGGUUUCCUUUUCCUUGUAGGAUAUCAUGGAAAUUACACUGGCAUGUUGUUUGGCCAGGGAAAGAGAUUUCAGAUGGGGUUCUUCAGUAGUUGCUUUUUUACUUCUUAGGAAUGAUCCUGGCAGAUCCUUGUGAUAAUUUCUCUAUUGUCAUAUUGGCACACAAGCAUGAUAUUCUCUGGGGCUUUUUUAUGUUGCUGCUUCUUUGGCCAGAAAUUAAUUGGUCUUAUAAAGAUGAUCUUUUUUUUUUCCCUUCUUCUUUCUUUCUUUAUUUUCCCUGUAGCGUGGAUUUGCUUUAGUCACUGACAGCUUUGCAUCCUUUGGAUUAUCCAGGUGUAUUUUGCCUUUGCAGUUGCCCUGGAAAUGAAACCUAACCCAGAACAGGGCCAUCACACCACACAGUGAUUUCAGUCAUUUUAAUAUAGAAAUCCUUCCGUGGUUUUAUUUGUGCCCACCCUGAGGAGUGAUGUUUUUCAUUUGUGCUGUUCUGACAUGUGAGAACAUCUGUGACCUACCUCCCACCUAUUCUUUUUCACUCGCUGUCCCAAAGGGGGUUGCAGAAGCAGAAGUAGCAGCAAACCAUUGGGUAUGGAAAACAACAUCAGUAAUUUCAAUUGGAUGCCACAUCUUGCACUUCCUUUUCUCAAUUGUUACAUAGGCAGCAUUUCAAUUGAGAGACGAAUAUGUUUUAGUGCUCUACUCUCCUUAACUAUUGCUUGCAAGGGACGUAUACAAAUCCCUUGAGCAACACAUGCUAUGCUUAUUUUUCUAGUGCCACUGAAACAGAGCAAUUAUUUAUCUCUUUGGCUUCCUGCUUUAUUUUUGCCAGCUUAGAAUAAUAUGAUUACAUAGUGAAAAUAAUCAAUGAGCAUAACCAGAAGUCCUUGCUCAGGGCUUGGUUAUUCAGGCUCCUACUGACUUUAGAACUUAAAGAAUUCGGGAUUUUAUCCAACGUCUUCUCAGCCUGUUAUGCUCAAGAGCUGAUUUCAUAGUAUUAAUUUUUAUAAGGGCUAUGGAUGAUAGAGUGAGGAACAAGAGCAUAAGCUACAUGCAUAUAAAAAUCAAUGCUCUUCGGACUGUUGGUGUUCAGAAAUGUAAGAAAGUGGUAUGUAUUUUCAUCUCUUAUUUAUUGCAGGUCAAUAGUAAUCAGCUUGGAAAUAUGACAGUGGGUGGCAGUGAUCUGUGUUUUGUGAUUACUUUCUCUCCCACACCUCCUGCUCGUUAUUUCCUAGAUCCAUGGAAGAACCUGCGUGCUGCUCUGAAGGAAAGGUGGAUGCCCUCACAUUAGGAGAUGGAUAAAUACUUUCCAAAUGAACUGUAUGGUACAGAUUUUGAUCUUCACAGCUGUGCGUUACUGCUUCCAGUUGAGCCCAAUAAUUGCAAACAGACAACAGAAAUUUGCGUUCAUUUUUCAGAACACAUUGGAGGCUCAACGUGUUCCCAUCCAGCGGUGCGCUGAGCACGACUGGAGGUGGUGGUGUGUCACUUUCUGACCAUUUUGGGA